AGCUCCAAAAGUUCAUCAAAAUAACAUUAGAAUUGCACCUAAAUAGUACUGACAAUGAACCAAAAUAGCUGGACGAAAUUCACACUAAUACAACACUAUGGUUGCACCAACAUAGCAGCAGAAAAGAGCCAAAAUUACACCAGAAAAGUAUCAAAACAACAUUUGAAUUACACAAAAACAGCAGCAUCACAAUAACCUCUAAAUUAGCAUUAAACUUGCAUCAACACCACCAGCAGAAAGCACUAGAACUGCACCAAAAACAGCAACAGAAAAACACUGGAACAACAGCAAAA
rnacentral:lncRNA from 1 species